rnacentral:rRNA from 1 species
UAGUCCACGCCCUAAACGAUGCUUACUCGAUGUAUGUUUAAUUAUGUGCAUCCAAGGGAAACCGUUAAGUAAGCCACCUGGGGAGUACGUUCGCAAGAAUGAAACUCAAAGGAAUUGACGGGGGUCCGCACAAGCGGUGGAGUAUGUGGUUUAAUUCGAUGAUACGCGAGGAACCUUACCUAGGCUCUAAUGCGACUGCUAUCCGGUGAAAGCUGGAGUUCCUUCGGGACAGGAAGCAAGGUGCUGCAUGGUUGUCGUCAGCUCGUGCCGUGAGGUGUUGGGUUAGGUCCCGCAACGAGCGCAACCCCUAUCACUAGUUGCCAACAGGUAAAGCUGGGGGACUCUAGUGAAACUGCCUACGCAAGUAGCGAGGAAGGCGGGGACGACGUCAAAUCAUCAUGGCCUUUAUGCCUAGGGCUACACACGUACUACAAUGGUGGGGACAAGGGUAGCAAACCUGCGAGGGUAAGCCAAUCCCAAAACCUCAUCCCAGUUCGGAUUGGAGUCUGCAACUCGACUCCAU